CCAACCUGGUUGAUCCUGCCAGUAGUCAUAUGCUUGUCUCAAAGAUUAAGCCAUGCAUGUCUCAGUAUCAGCACUUUCACAGCUAAACUGCGAAUGGCUCAUUAAAACAGUUAUAGUUUACUUGGUGAUCAAUGGUUAUACGGUUAUAACUGUGGUAAUUCUAGAGCUAAUACGUGCAUUCAGACCUGACUUCU
rnacentral:rRNA from 1 species